rnacentral:rRNA from 1 species
GUGGCGAACGGGUGAGUAACACGUGAGUAACCUGCCCUUGACUCUGGAAUAAGCGUUGGAAACGACGUCUAAUACCGGAUACGAGCUUCAGCCGCAUGGCUAGGAGCUGGAAAGAAUUUCGGUCAAGGAUGGACUCGCGGCCUAUCAGGUAGUUGGUGAGGUAAUAGCUCACCAAGCCUACGACGGGUAGCCGGCCUGAGAGGGUGACCGGCCACACUGGAACUGAGACACGGUCCAGACUCCUACGGGAGGCAGCAGUGGGGAAUAUUGCACAAUGGGCGCAAGCCUGAUGCAGCAACGCCGCGUGAGGGACGACGGCCUUCGGGUUGUAAACCUCUUUUAGUAGGGAAGAAGCGAAAGUGACGGUACCUGCAGAAAAAGCACCGGCUAACUACGUGCCAGCAGCCGCGGUAAUACGUAGGGUGCAAGCGUUAUCCGGAAUUAUUGGGCGUAAAGAGCUCGUAGGCGGUUUGUCGCGUCUGCUGUGAAAACUGGAGGCUCAACCUCCAGCUUGCAGUGGGUACGGGCAGACUAGAGUGCGGUAGGGGAGAUUGGAAUUCCUGGUGUAGCGGUGGAAU